AUUUGGUGGUGAUUAUGGCGCUCAUGCUUGCAUCUGUACAGUUUCACGACACGGCGGCUCAGACUACCCAUGUGGUCGGCGACGCCUUGGGUUGGAAUAUUCCUCCCAACGGACCUUCUGCUUACACCACCUGGGCAUCAGGUCAGACCUUCAGUGUCGGCGAUGUUCUUCUCUUUAACUUCACCACCGGAUUCCAUAACGUUGCUGAAGUGGCUCAGGCGGCGUACGCUCCAUGCACCACCGCCAACCCCAUCUCCAUUGCCACCAACGGUCCCGCUAGAGUCACCUUGAACGCACCUGGCACUCACUAUUACAUCUGCACCGUUGGCACUCAUUGCCAAAUUGGUCAGAAGUUAACCAUCAACGUCUCCGCUGCGUCUGCCACCCCUGCUCCAUCACCAACACCGGCACCUGUUUCUCCACCAACCCCAACCCCUGCUCCCUCCACAAUAACCCCACCACCAACCUCCUCCCCUGCCCCUUCUUCCGAGGAUGCCAGCCCAGUAUCACCACCCGCCUUCAGCCAAUCUCCCUCAGGCAGUAACGCCCCUUCUCCCACAGAUAACACUAUUCUACCACCACCAUCACCCAGUUCUGCUCCAUCUUUCACCGCUGUGGUACCCUUCACUUUCUUGGCGAUAGCUUUAGCUUUCUUUUACUAGAUCUAGUGAUUAUUGGUUACGUCAGAUAGAAUGUGAUAUUACGUAAAUCAUUUUUGUUUAAAAUUCUUUUUUCUAUAUAUGUCCAUGUACUUACUAAAUUGAGAUAAAUAAUAUAGUAUUAAUUUAUGAUAUUCAUAUGAUUAUGUCCAACUGUACUUUUUGAAAGGAAACAUGUGACCACAUCACAAGGGAACCAAUAAUACUAUAAUACGAUAUGAAAAUUAAGAUAAAUUUUAUAAGGGAAAAUGUCUUAAAAGCCAACGAAGUUUCUAAACCAUUCAAAAAAACCCAAUCAUGUUUUGUUUGUUCAAAAAAACCCAACAAACUUAACAUUUUGUCUAAAAAGUCCAACAAAGUUCCAAACCAUUCAAAAAAUCCUAAUUUUGUUUUGUUUAAGUUCGUUAGGUUGUUUUUGAACAAUCAAAACAUGAUUGAAGUUUUUUUAAACGUUUUGGAAACUUUGUUGGUCUAACAAGUCGUUUUUCCGAUAUGGUAAUAAGUCACGUCAUCUGUUUCUCUUAUUUGACUUUCAGGAAAGUGUAACUUAGUUGGGCUUUUUAUACAAAAUAUUAAGUUUGUUGGGUUUUUUUGAAUAGAAAAAACAUGAUUGAGGUUUUUUGAACGGUUUAUAAACUUCGUUGGGCUCGUAAGUUAUUUUUCAAUUUUAUAACGGGGGAGUUCGACUAUUUUUUUACUGAAUUUAGAAAUAUGGUGUAUAUUAUUCAAUUUAUUACGAAUGCAAUAUCCAUAUGUAAUGUAAUCAUCAAGAAACCCGGGGGUGUUGAUAUAAAAACUUGAUGUUGAUUUAUGAUUUGGCUAUAGCCUAGAGACGUGGCCAAGAGGCCACUUAACUGAUUCAGACCUGGGAUAUGACCCAAACCACAUAUAUAAAGAAGGAUCGUUCUGCAUCAAAAAUAACCGACUUGACUAUAGCAAUUAUCAAGACCGGUUACAACGGUCUAGUUAAGAAGUCCCUCACUCCCGCAUUCAUUGGUCCAAUUAACAAUCUCAGUUAAAUCUCAUCUGUAACGAGUCAAGAAGAAUGUAACGAGUUUAUUCUCAAAAUCUAUAAAUAACCUAAAAACUAUAUACAACACUUUAAGUUCUAAAUCAUGUGAGGAGUGAAAUGACGACAAGCCUAGCUUUGCUAGAUUUCUCCCUAACGCAAUCCAAAGAAAUUCCAUGAAUCCAUCCAUGGAUAAUUUUAAGAGACGAGCUAGCUUUCUUUUAUGUGUAAGUGUAGCACAAUGAGUGUGAAUCUAAGAGUUGUGAAGUUUUUCAAGGUGCGAAUUAAGACGGUUACUUUCUAAAUAUUUUCACAGUUGACUCUAAAUGAUAUAUUUAAUAAAUUUUGUUUUGUCAGAGAUAUUCUACGUUGGUUCUACACAAACAUUUUCUCAAUCUUAUGAUAAAUGCGUUAUAAAUACAAUUUUAACCGAUGUUUUAAAACGACAAGCUAGACAAUAUGUUAAAAUAAAUGCAAUUUCAACAUGAAGUAUACUAGCUAACAUUUUUCAUUAUUUUUUGAAAGUUUGAUUGAUAACUAAUGUUAGUAUAAUAAUAACUAGGUGGGAAACCCCGAUCCACGGGGUUUGGAACAAACAAAUUUACUUAACACACAUGGGUCGGAUAUUUUUGUUGAUGUUUGGCGGGUCACGAAAGUAGGAUGCUAAAAUGUCAUUCAAAUACAAAGCAACCGGAUAGAUUGAAAACAAUAUAAUGUCGUAAUGUAAGAAAUGAAAGUAAACAAAUAAAUUAGUGUAGGUUUCUAUUUUUUGCAUUUAACACUUUUGGCUGAUAUUGAAUAAUGCCACGUGAAGAAGAAAAAACAACAUAUUUUCUAUUAUUAUUGUAUUCACAUUUUUUUGGAUGCAACUGUGCAUACUAAAAACUUUACAAUAUCUACUAUAAUCCAUGAAGAAUAUGUUAUUUAAAUAAAAAUAAACAAAACAAAACUUUUGGGACCAUUUUCCCCGAUUGCCAUUUUUGUAACUUAAAGUUAAAUGAAACAUGUUUGUUGACCAAAUUAGAAUCUAUCUCAAAGUAUUGAAUAUUAGAAACUUUGCUGGUUUUCUCAACUUGAAGCCGAUGUGGCAGAAAUAACUGCAGCAAAAAUGAUAAUUUUUUAGGGAAAAUUAUAGAAUAAAAAGUACAAUGUGCGAUUCCUACAACAAAAAUGACCUUUUUAAACUUUGGUAAACAUUGUUGUCAUGUUACAACAAAUGUGGGAUGAUUAGUAUUAUAAAAUAGUUUUCAUAAAACUGUUAAUACUCUUAAUGAUUUUUUUAAUAAGAGAUGAGAUUUUUGGACACUUGGUGCAAAUCAUGAACAAUAUAGUCGGUAGAUACUACCUUUUGGAUGGUGAUACAAAGACAAAAAGUGGUUCAAUGGGGCUGCAUUUUUGACUGGAUGCAUUUUUGACCAAAAACACCGCAAUAGAAAUAUACAAAAAGAUUAAGCAAUAGAAAAUGAAAAGAUUUUGGCAUUUCAGAACAAAUAAUAAGACUAAAUGCUAUAAUAAUAUUACGAUAUUAGGCAUAAACCAUAGAAAUGCUUCAACUGUAUUGAGACGAGAAACAUUUUUUUUUUUGCAUCAAUAUUCCAUGCUUUACCCCUUGAUCAUCAGUGCCUAUGAAAAGCUGUGUCAAAAUAGACAAUUAAAUAUGGGACCAUUACUUCUUGGUUGCAAACAUUCACACAUAAAUUCCAUUUUCAAUCUAGUUCUGAAUAUGGUAUAUGUGGAAAAUAAAUUAGGGUAAUACCAUCCGGUCAGAUUUGCAUUCCUCCAAAUCACAUUGUCUGCCUCCUUCAUCACAUCCGCUGCCAAAAUGAGUUUAAAAAAUCACAUCUUUCUUCGUUAAAAUGUGGAUAUUUGGGUUCAUGAACAACAACUUGUGAACCUGACGCUGAAAAACUUAAAGAAGUGUAACUCAAAAUUUUGUAAUGAACACAUGAAAAACAUGAUCUUUAGUUUUUUGAAUUCCCAAACCUUAAAGCUUAGAAUGCUAUUGUUGUCCAAAACAACUGUUUUCCUUUCUUGUUUCUUAAAUUUAGAAACAAAUUCGACAAUAAGGACCUAAGAAUGACGAAUCGAAGAAAUUAAAGUAAAGAAAAGGCUUUAUUGGAUGAUAAUUAUCCUAAUCAUCAACAAUUUAGCAUCGUUUCUCACAUAGCUCAACUUGAGUUUCACUUUUUCAACAAAUGCAUUGACAUAACCUGAAGUUAACAUAAAAAGAAACCAUCUUUCAGUUUCUUCAUUUUCAUUUUACAACCAAAAAGAAGUAUCAUCAUAAACACAGUGAAAAUUUUGUUGUGCACGAAACUAAGGUCACCUUGAACAAAAGACUGAAAAAAAUUUAUAAACAUGGUUGAAGAAAAUUAGAAUAAUAGAAUAGCACUCGGCUGGCAGCUAUUACUCUAAGAUUUGAAAUUUGGAGCCGUUAUCAAAAUCUCACCAAAUAUUUACUUUUUGCAUCUUUCCUUGAAAGUAACAAAUACAUGUUAUGUGAUUACCUUCAUUUUUAUGGCGUCAUUCAGGAAUUUCCCUUGGGGACAUUUUCAGAAUUUUUUCGCAAUUCUAGCCAUUGUUUCUUCACAAAAUACUCAAGUCUUUGUGGCCUAUUGCAGCAAACGAAAAGCCACAAAACAAUUAGGCAGUAAAAAAAUUCAUAUAAGACAUGAUACGCUUAAAAAUAAAAAUCAAAAUUUAUGCUUCUUUUUGACAGCUUGUAGACAACACUUCAACCUUUUAAAUCUGCUUCUUUUUUAGCUUUAUGAUUUUGCCUCAUCACCUUUCGUAUUCUCCUAUCCUAUAAAAACAAAACAUGUCAAAUCUUUAAUCCAUAAUUAAUUUAAAACAUUAGUAAAAUAAAACAAAUGUCCUUUUUUGACAAAACUUCAAUCCAAAUUCCUACAUUACUUUUUAUGAGGAAAAGUGGCAAUGUUACGGACUACCAGAUUUUGGCAUCCAAAAACAACAAAUAAAAAAAAAAUAAGUUGCUAAUUUUUUUGCAUUGAUUUUGCCCUAAGGUUCUUGAGCAUUUGUUCUUGCAGAUUCGUUGAAUAUAGAGGAAAGUUCUUGAUGUAAGAGUUUAGAUCCUGUGUAUAUUAGGAUCAUUAUAAAGUAUACACGAUGAACAUGUUAUCUAUUUAUUUAUUUAUUAUUUAUUCCAUCGACUGAGUAAAGAAGAAUGCCAUACCUUGUUGAAAUAACAUAUCAAGUAAUCAUGGAGCCUGAAAACAAAUCAUAUAAAUUACAAUCUGAAUGUUAUAAUAUCCAUGGUCUGAUAUAUACGAAUGUAAAAGCAACAAAUUGUACUUAAAUUACGAAUAAAAAAGUAAAUUUGAUAGUCAGAGAAAUCAUGACGUACCAAAACUUUGUAACUAAUGACAAUUUUAAUCAAUCUUAACUCUUAAUAAAGUUAUUACAAUCUAAUAUAUAUUUUUCAUUUUGGAAAACAAUGCAUACUAUAAUAUGGCCGUCUAUUUUCAUUUUUUCAUAUGCAAUAAUAGGGCUCGAAUCCAAUGACCUGAUAGUGAAUGCUCCAGGUGGCGUACCUGUGAUCAUAAUGAGAACAAAAACGGCAUUCUCUUGAACUUCAAAGGCUAAGUUGGUGAUCUUUAGAAUAGAGAACAUGGGUAAUGGCGGUGGAGGAUAUUUCUGGAAGGAAGGCAGAAUUGAAUUAUUUUCAUAUAAUGAUGUGAUGAAAAGAGUGAUAACAAAAUUGUUGACACCUGUAAAUUGAGUCGUAGGAGAAGUACCUUGUCAAUGAACUUUAGGGUUCACAGUUGGACUUGAAGCCCUAUCCGCUCAAAUCAAAAAAUUUAAUUUUCAUUCUACAUCAAUUGAAGUUCUAAAACAUUAUUAAGAGAAUUCUUUCACCUUACAUGCCAUAAUUGUUAAAUUAUAAACUUCCAGAGAUGUAAUUAGAAAUUUCAUGAACUAUAAGCCCAUAAUAAUGCUAUGUUUAUUUACCAAAAUCAAUAUUAAUGGCUCAUCAGAAUCACAAAACAACAUAAAAAGUAACUAUCACUACCAGAAAAACAGUCUUUUACGAUGUGCAAUGUGUGUCGUAAAACGCUCAGACGACGCACAAAUGCGCAUCAAGGAAGGCCCUGUCAUAACGAGAGAUGACGUGCUUUUGCGCGUCGUUUGUUUACGACGCACAGUUAUGAUGCGCAAUGCGUAUCAAGGAAGACCCUGUCAUAAAGAAAGACGACAUACAUUUGUGUGUCGUAACCUUACGACGUGCGUGUUUAUGACACGGAAAGCGUAUCAAGGAAGCCCAAGUCAUAAAGGCAGAUGACACGUCAUUGCGUGUCGUAACUUUACGACGCGCCUUUAAGACUCGCAAUGCGUAUCAUUAAAUCUACUGUCAUAAACGAAGAUGACACACAUUUGCAUGUCAUAAAUUCCAGCUGCCAGUUACUAUACACCUUUACGACGUGCAUUUACGACACACAUUUACUACGUGAAUACAGAUAAUAAAAGACAAAUAUAUAUAUAUAUAUAUAUAUAUAUAUAUACACACACACUAAAACAUUCAUUUUCAUCUAAACGUCAAACAACUUACCUAACAACAUUACAUAUUUGUCGAAUUACCUAAGCUACACUACAUGUCAAGUUACCUUAAGUAACAUUACUAAAAGUUAGCAAAAACAUGUACAUGCGUGUCGAAAGACUACCUAGCAUUACACCACAUGUCAAAAGACCAUAUACCUAGCAUUUCACUGUUAACCAUAACAUUGUUUUGCGGAUACAUUGUAAAAAAACCAUAUAUAUCAUCGAUAAAUGAAGCCUGUAACAAACUCUGACCAUUCUUACGUAUCUCAUCGAUAUCAUCAGUUGUGUACUCAACUGUGCCAUCCCCGAUCAGUGAAAAAAUUUGCAUAUUGUUUUUAUCAAUAAAAAAUAGCAUAUUAACAUAAUCUGCAUUAGUAAGUUGCUAUAUUUAACAAAUAAGCAUAAAAUGUAAAUUAUUCUUUCUUAAUGGAGCAUUGUACUUUCAAAUGAAUGAUAUCACAUUUUAUUUUUGCAUGUAACCUAAUAUUUCAAUUAUAAUUGUGAGAGUAGGAUGCCAUAAAAUGAUCCUUUUUGAAUUCCUUUCCUAUUAAAUUAUAGUAAUGAAAGUAGAAUGCUAUAUCCUUACAUUGUCUUUGACCAACACUUCAAUUCCUUCUUCCACUAUCUCCUUCAUGAACCUUAGCAUGUAGUAGCCACAUUCGGUAGAUCCGGGCUGAACUGGACACUACACAAUUACAUAUAAAAUGAUCAUUUCAAUUGAUCCAAAAAAUAAAGUUAAAACUACAAUUUCAAUAAGGAAUUAAGUGCUGACCAUAACAUUAACCCAAUUUAGUUUAACCCUUUUGUUGGAUCCACUUUGUGUAGUGUACAGAACCAUUUCCCUAUAAAAAAACAUUAACAAAUAGGUGUUUAUUGUAUUCACAUCAAAUGUUUUGAUAAUUUAUAUUACUUACGAAUCAACAAUUUGCAUCAACUACAUAUUGAAAUUGCUAGAACUCAAGGAAUCAAGAUAAUAGCAAUUAUCCGAUUUCAUGUCUAGUACACCCAAUACCCAAUGUCUUCUACAAAAACCACAAAAAAAAUUAAAAUGUCAAAUAACAUAAUUGCAGUCAUUUUAAAAAUAAAAUGUCAAAUAACAAUACCCGGGAUUGUAGGGCAUAAAGAUGAUGUCAUUGCCCUUUCUUUUAGACAACCGAUCUGCUAAACCUCUGCUUGCAUCGUCAAUAUUCUUAGAUUUCCCUUUNUUUUUUUUUUUUUUUUUUUUUUAAUGUAGAGAGCUGAGAAUUGCAUACACUAUAGCACACAUGGAGCGUGAAGGUGGUGUGAGUCCAAGAAUAUCACCAUUAGUACAAGUAUAAUAUUUUUCAUAUCUAUUUACUGAAUUGCCCUUAUCUAUUUCCAUCCAUUCAUUUGAUAGAUAUUUAUUUAAAAGGACAAGAAAGUAAAAAAAAAAUGUUUCUCUCUUAUAACACAUGUGCACCAAGACUCGCAUCUUUAUAUAACACAAUAGAAAAUGAAAAAUAAAAAACUUAUGUACCCUAAAAAAUAGAUAGAUAGAUAAAUACAUUUUCUUAUAUGAGAAAGCAAAAAAUGUUUCUCUCUUAUAACACAUGUGCACCCAAGACCCGCAUCUUUAUACGACACACAUGCAACACAAUAACAGAUUUAACUAACAAUGAUGUCACUAUAAUGUUUUAAUUUACUUACCAUUGUAUUUGUUUGUAUAUCAUCAAUCUUACAUUUGUAAUUUGGUUGUUUGCUUACUUUUUCUCUUCUACUUAAAAUUCCCUACUUUUCAUUCAAACUUAUUUUUUAAAUGUUACUACUACAAAACAAAUAGAAACUGUCUUUCACCAUACCAAAAACUCUAAUUGCAAUAAUUAAUCAAUUCUUAUUUCAAUAUGCACAAAAUUACCUACAAUAUGUCAAAUAUCCAAGCAUUAAGUUUCAUUUAAAAUGCUUCUUUAUACCAAUCUAUAUCCUAUUCAUAAUUGCUAUUUAUUAAAUAUUAUUUUGUUUUCACGAAAUAGAUGUCAAGUAAAAGUGGAGGUGAGGGAUACCAGAAAGGUCAGCAAGCUCUGGGGGCUGUACUCGUGAAUGGUUUUCGCACUGAAUAGAUUUCUUAUAGCAUCAUCCUUUGAGGCUGCAACAAGUAACAUAACAAUUGUUGCUUUAUCACCCUUUGAGGCUGCAUCAAGUAACAAAACAAUUGUAACUCAUUCUAACUAUAUGCAUAUUACAAUGCACAAUUAUGAAAAAAAUUAACGAACAUUAGCAUUUAGCAAGUUAUGUGUGAAGGAAGUUUCACAUAAUGCAAGCUUGGGUAUUAUACUUUAAACUAAUUCAAAUAUGCUAUCAUUUCUUUACCACAUAAGGUACUAACACAUUUAAGAGAAUGAUACUUGAAUAUGCAGUUUAUUGAAUGAUUAAUAACACAUCUAAGCACAAAAUAUAAUAACUACAUGAGGUGUUAGUGGGGAGUACAUGUUUGCUUGCGUACCAUGAACUUGUCACCGAAGUUUUAUCUGAAUACAAUGUUGGUUUCAAUGUGAAGAACAUUGGUAUGAAGGAUUUGAAGCAUGGUACUGUGAUAACUGAUGCAUAUAUAUUCAAGAGAAACAGCCAAAUGGAAUCGUAUUUAGUCUAAUAUAGGAGUAAAAAAUCAUGGUACUGUGAUAACUGAUGCAUACAUUGAUGUUACUAGACAUGUAGAGGGGUAUGUUCAGGAAAGAAGUUGUGAAGCUAGGAGCACUGAUCAGAUUAAAGUUAAAAAGGCUCGAGAUGCCAAAACAGGUGAGAGUGGACAAUUACUGGUGAAGAACUUGCUCAACAAAUUUUGAAUCUUCACCAGAUUGAAUCAAUGUCUGAGGUGUCGGUCCUAAUGGUGGCACCUAGUAAUCUAAAACAAAAUUAAGAUCCAGGGUACCAACAAACUGAAGAAAAAAAUAGAAAACUAAAGGUUGUNAAAAAAAAAAAAAAAUAGGUGUUUGGGUUUUUUUUUUUUUUUUUUUUUUUUUUUUUUUUUUUUUUUUUUUUAAAUCUUGAUUUAGUUUUAAUUUUUGGGUGUUGAUUGAAUUUAGUUAGGUCUUUAUGAUUUAAGAUGUAGGAGAUUGAGAAGAUGAAGAUUAGGGCAAAAGAGUCAUUUUACUUUAAAACCUUUUUAUUAAUGUCGUUGGUGCCAGAGACGAACCUUGUAGCAAAACUAAAUUUGAUUGUUAAUUAUUUGUGGUUUUUUUAUUGUACACAAUAUUUUGCUAAUGUUUGUAAGAAAUAAUUUUUUUUCUUGCUCACAGGGUUUGAGUGAUCUCUCUCCAAUAUUUUGCUAAUGUUUGUAAUUCAUCGUGAAAGAUGAAUCACAAGCUUUCUGGUGUUUUUUUUUUAUGGAAAGAUUAUGUCCGAAUUUCAACCAUGAUUGAGGGUAUUUUGGUCAUUUAAUAAAAAAAGAGUAAUGAAAUUGAAACCACCUGCCCUCAUGAAUGGUUGAAGUCCAUCAAAUUUGAAAUUUGAAGGAAUUUGACAUAGUGGAAUUUUGUCUGAAUGUUCAACCAAAUGCACCAUUGAAUGGAAUCUUGAAUUCCAAUUUCCUUGGAAUCCACAAUUCCAAUUCUUGGUUGCGAAGCGAUUACUAAAAAUGAUAUUUAAAGAAAAUCCAACAGAACUGAAUUCCGUCUGAAUUGUCAACUAAUUCCAACAGAACUGAAUCCACAAUUCCAAUUCUUGGGAAAAAGAUGUGUCUUCGCUUUAAGAAGAAUCCUCAAUAUAUAAUCAAUAUACAAGGUAAUUAUCAGCCUAAGUUACAGAUUUCUAGCCUAUAAAUCAGCUUACUAGAGUUAUAUACAAUUAUUGACAAUAAAAGCAUGUGAUAGAAAAGAUAUUUUGCUGAUUAAUCNAUUGUUUUUAUAUAUAUAUAUAUAUAUAUAUGAUAAUUGCAUGUGAUACAGAGAAACUAAGGUAUUGGCAGAAAUGAAAACACAUUUGGUUGACAAAAUGGAUGGAAUUGGAUCCCAUCAGAUUCCCCCAAAAUGGAUAGUGAUGCUUGGAAACUCAUACUCAUAGAAAUAUCUCAGGCUCUUGUUUUAAAUGGAUUUAGAGGAAGGUUGAGCCUCAAAACUAAGGGUGAAGAUUUUGUGACUUUGGUGACUAAAUCAAUUCACCAAGACACUGCAACAAGUAUGACUACUACUGUACACAGAGCUUACAACACAGGCAGAUCCACAAGGUUGACUGUUAAGAAAUAUUCCCAAGUGAUGAAGAGGGAAACAUGUGAGCUUGUAAGAAUUAAUUUGUUGAUGGAUGAAGUGAAGGAUUUGGGUGGCACCUUAGAAGAGAAACCCUAUGUUAUUACUUGGGAUGGAGCCUUAAGGAUUGAGAUGGUUGUUGAUGAAACUAGAAGUAGAGAAAAGAAGGUCAACAAACGGAAGGUGAAAUCAGUUGAAAGAAAUGAGCAACUUGAGGCUAUGGAUGUAGAGCUUGACAUAAACGAAACGGAUAAAUCUGUCCAAGUAAACAAGACUAACCUCGUUGGAUUGCUUAGAGAUAAUGUUGGACAGUUGAAAGAACUUGAGGGGAAGAAUCUUGUUUGAAGCACCAAAGAAGAGUCAAAGUUUGAAGAACCUGAAGAGAAACAUGUCACAGGAGAGUUUGAUGAACAUAAGUUUUAGGGAUUUUUCGUCUCUUUUCUCGAGCCACUGAUAUUAUACUUACACGGUUAGCCAAUCCUUUCUUAACCUUGAGGACAAGGUGAAAGUUUGGGAUAAAAAUCAGACCAAAUGUUCGCAAGAUGAAAGAAGGGGAUAAAAACAUUACAUAUAACUUGAGAAGCUUGAUAUUUACCUUCUGUUCAAAUUGAGAAGCUUCAGUAGGUGAGAAACCCUUGAAUGUGUUCAAUUUAGCAUCAGAUUCAUGGCCACCGGGCGCUUCUUCCCCUUGUGUCGACUUUCGUCUGCUUUUUCUCUUCUGUUAUUUGGUUCUUUGGCCAACCGGGAAGUUCACUUUGCCUAAAUCGUUUCAACAGGAACACCUUAAUCGGACCUAGGGCAUGUAAAUUUGAGCAGUCUCUAAUGAUGACAGUUGAGCCCUAGGUCGUCGGCGAGGGGAAAUCAGUCGGAGGAGAAGUAACCUAACGUCGUCGGAGGAGACGUUGUCUGCAAGGGGAGGCGAGUCGAGGUCUCAGAGUCGAUCGAUUGUAGAGAGUGAAGUGACUAAUGAACACUGAGUGUUAGGAUAUUUUAGUAGUAACCUCGAUUAUUGUAACAAGAGACGCACACCUUUCAUUAAAAUUAUUAGGCGACAUUUAUUGAGAUAACACACAUUUUACAUAAAAUGCCUUCCAUGUUUUUAAGUUUUUUACAUUAGACACUAAUUUAAGGGCACGCAAUAAUGCGCGACCUAAAUCCUUAAUUUUUUUGAAGAUAUGACAUUUUUUAAUGUCACUCUCUUUUGCGUAACAUAAAUCAACAAGCGUCGUGUUUUUCACGUCGUAAAAGGGUCUUUUUCUUGUAGUGUAUUAUCUGAAACAUAAACGUAAAGUGAAAAACAACUUUAUUAAAAGCCAUGAAAAAUCACACCAACGUUCAAUCUUCUCAUGUGUAUACUUCCAAAAGGUUUGAUUAGAUUAACUUACUGUGAAUCCUUGCGACGAUAGUAGCGGGGUGGUGGCACUGGUGGUGGCCGCAUAAAUUGUUGCAGCAGUGGUGAUGGUGGUGGCGAUGGUGAUGGUGAUGGGGUAGUGGUGGUGAUGAUGGUGAUGGUAGGUGGGUGAAUAUGGUAGUGGUGUUGGGUGGGUGGAUAUAUAUAUAUAUAUAUAUAUGUGUGUGUGUNAGAAUUCUCAACCGAGUAACUAAAUUCUUAGCUUUAGUUUUAUAUUACAUUCAAUCAGACAAAUAGGAUGAAAAUCCUUAGAAAACAUCGCAUCAACUACCUUCAUAAUUAAAGCAAUAAACAACAAAAUGCAACCUCUAAGAACUAACCAAAUCGAAAAACCUUAUGGACAACACCAACAAUGUUACAAAAAAAAAUCAAAAGUAAAGCCAUCUGGUCCCUACGAUUUAUCCACCCCACAAUCCCACACAUCGUGUUUCAAUUCUUCCACCAACACAUCAUGUUAAUGAUGGGUUUUAUGUACUAUAACACUCCUAUGGUGCACAUACGACCCUAAUGUCUUGUAUCUAGGUUUUCUCUAGUUAUACAUACAAUAAAAUUAUCCAGAGCAUGAAGCCUAACUAGCAUACGAUUUUCGAGUAUAACAACAUAAAAAUUGUUGGAUUAGGUGUCUAAGCCUAUAACUAUUUUGGUAUGUACUUGACUAGAUUGUGAGCAUGGUCCUUUUGGGUUUCCUUCACCAUAACAACUGAUAUGAUGAAUUAAGGAUAAAGAGGUUUAAUUAUGAUUUAUUAAUAUAUUACGUGAAUAAUAUAUUAAAAGUGAAAUCAUAUUAUUUAAUUAAUAUUAGUCAAGAAUUAAUUAAGAAUUAAUUUUGUGGCUAAAAGAGAUUAAUUAAACUUAGGGGACUAAUAUUGUAAUUAUUAGAGAAUUGCAUUGUGGGCUCUGGAUUCUUAUUGGAAAGAGGAUUGGACGAAAUCUAUGGGAAGCCCAUAUGGAUUUCGUCCAAGGGUUUUCUAAAGGGACUCCAUGAGUUGCUUAAGGCCUAAGCAAAGAAUUAGGGGAUUUCAGGGAAAACCCUAGCAGUCCACACAAGUAUAAAUGGACACCUAGGGCAUCCAAAACGAGGCUAGGCAUUCCUUGGAGUUUCUUGGAUGUUUUUGUGCCUCCUCCCUCUCUCCUUGUUCAUCUUGUUGCUCAUGGUGUUUGUGGCUCCAUUAGAGGUGCAACAUUUGAUGCACUAAGCUUUCAAAAGUCAAGAUCAAGAGGAAUUGAGAUUGUUAUUGCUACAUAACAAUGAAGGUAAGAUCUAAAUCCUAUUCUUAUGUUAAUAUCGAUUAUCACAUGCUAGAUCUAGGGUUUAUUGCUUUGGUAUUCAAUGUUGUAUGUUUAAUUAGAAAAACCUAGAUCAAAGCAAUUAGGGUUGCAUGAACACCAUAGGAAUGAUGUUAUGCUCAAAACCCAUCAGUGGUAUCAGAGCCUAGGUCGUUUUUCUAGUUGAAUAGAUGCAAAAGUGAACUGCCAAAGGAUCAAAAAGUCGAAAUUUUUCGCUGUCUGUGCCGCCAACUCGGCGAGUCCAUCAAUGGAAUCAACGAGUAGCCGCGACUCGGUGAGUCCAUCAGUGGACUCAACGAGUAGGCUGAACUCGACGAGUCCAUCAGUUGACUUGGUGAGUCCAGGGUACUGUUGACAGGAUUUUCGAUUUUUUGAGCAGAUUUUGUUAAGGAUGAUUAUCAAAACUCGUUUUUAUUGCCUUAAAUCGAUUUUCUAUGUUUGGAAUGAUUAUCCUUAUCAAAGUUAAUGGAUUUGGUUAAAUAUGGAUAAUAUAGGAUUAUUAUUAGUUUGACCUAUAAGAUUGAAAAGUUUCAUUUUACUCCCUUUAGGUUUUAUAGUUUAAAUUUGAACUUAAAAGUUUUAGUUUUUGAAAUUUAAAUAGUUAAAACCUAAUAUUUUGAAAGGUUUCAAAAUUUUCCCUUAAGUUUUGGAAUUUAAAAUUUAAUUAAGAGGUAUUAAUUUUGAAAUAUUAAAUUCUAUAACCCUAGUAUUUUGAAAAGUUCAAAUUACACCCUUAUGGUUUUAUUGAUUUAAUUAAGAGUUUAAUUAAAGGGGAUAAUUAAUAAAUCCAUGAUUAUAUGGUUUAGGUUAAUCAAACUAAAAAAAUUUAAUUUAUUAAAUUAAACCACCUAGUAUUUUGAAAGUAUAAAAUGCACCCUUAUACUAUAUAGAAUUAAAAGUUUAAUAUUAUAUAUGUAUGGGUAAAUGCCAGUCUUACCGUUAGUAGGCCACAUUCACGAAGUUGGUCUAUAAGGAGUGUUUAAGGAAGCGGCCUGAAAAAAUGACCGCCAUUUGGUAUCCACUCUUACCCACCGCACUCUUGACUAGUGGAGGGUCGUUAGCCGAACGGGUAGGAUAGGACACACCCUUCCAUUAUAAGUAUAAUGAAAUACGAAGUAACUAAAUGUUUUAUAAAUUCCCAAAUCUUAGUUACUUUAGGAAAAAUGUGGAGUUGGUGCUAAUCCAUGAAAUUACACUUUGUAUCCUUGCUAAUACGUUAGUCGAGCGUGUGUGGUUAACCGGCACACUAAUUGGGCUCUAAGCAAAGGUAGCAAAGGGUGACUCGAUGUUUGUCAUAGAUCGAUGGAGCGUGUGUGGUUAACCGGCACGUCGAUUAGGUGAUUGUAACAUUGGGGGCACCAUGUAUAUUUGCAUGGUUAUCCACAACUUGUUUGUGAUCCUCGACAUCCCAUUCACAAACGAAGGGCACACUCAAGGUUUAAACAUGUCAUUGAAAAGUUCAAUGAAUCUCAAAAGAUCUAGGAGUUUCAAUUCAUUUAAAACCUAAUUUUUAAUUUUCGUUUUUCAUGGUGGAAAUUGGUAAAUCGUCAUUUACCUACCUUAAAAUGUUCUGCAAUUUGGAUUACGACAUCCCUCUUCCAUAUUGUAGGAUAUUGUGUUGGAUCCUAGCCUUGAUAUUUCAUUUGGGUGUUAUAUCAAGGAUUCCAAUCAACUAACUUGCAUUUCUCCCGUUUUAUAGAUGUCAAAGUCUGAUAACUAUGGUCUUCCUGAAUCCGUUGGAAAAAGUUUUCCACGUGAAGAUGAUAUUCCACGAUUGGAUUGUGGAAAUGGAAAUCAUGCUUCACUUCCUCCACCUCCUCCUAUAAUUCUCCCCGACCCACGUGUUCGAAAAGUUCAAGGUCACUCAAGCCCUAUUGACAAAAAGACACUAAAAAGGAAAGUUUGUAUGUGCUCAUGUCUUGGAUAUGAAGUUGCAUAUUGAUAGAUUGGGAAAGUUGGGUGUCGAUGUCUCAAGGAAGUUGGCUAGUUCUUCAGUCACUUCCCGAAUCAUAUAGCGAGUUCAUUAUAGAGUACUAUGUGAUGGACCAUGACGUAUCCCUCAUUGAUUUGACUUAUUUGCUUAUUGGUGCUGAAUCAACUUUGAUUUGACGCACUGGUCAAGAAAAUUUGUCUGGUAAAUCAAUGUCCCAUCCUUCUAUGGGGAAUGGCAACAUUAGAAGUCUAGAAAAUUUUUCUCCAUGCAAGAGAAAGACUAAGUCUGAGAUAGUCCCGUGUACCAUUCCAGAAGAAUCUGUAUAAUUCUACUGCCAAAAGAAGGGGCAUUGGUUACGAAGCUGCCCAGACUACCUAAGAGAUCUAAGAGAUGGGAGACUCAAGAUGUAUGACUUUUCUUCAGGUAAAAUCCACUAUCUAACUCCAUUAAGUUCCUAUUUGGAGAUUCUAAAUACAUGAUGUGAUAAGAUUGCAUUUUGUUGUAGGAUCGAAGAAUAGAGAGGAAGCUUAAAGGAAGAAGUGAGUUGAGUCUGAUCGCGAAGAAAUGGAUUUCGAUUACAUGAUUGGAUGAUUGGAUUUUAAGUCGCUACUUUUAGAGUUAUGAUAGAUUGCUUACGAAUAUGAAAAUAGCAUAGUUUUCAUUUUAAUUUGCAUUGUAAGGACAAGUUUUUCUGCACCGUUUUAUAAAUAAAAUAAAUUUGGUUUUUGUUUUAUUUAUAUCUCUUUACAAUGUUAUUUAUGAAAAUUGAUGCUUUUGUGUUUCUAUUGAAAUCAAUAUUAAGUGGAGGUGAUUCUUAGUUAUGUUAUAUAUGGUAGUGUCAUAAUUUAUCUAAGUAAGGAAAGAUUCCCAUCGCCCAAGUUUCAGUUGGACAAAAGUUUGAAAUCAUAUGAUUUGAAUCAUGUGAUGUAUGGAAAUCUUGGUACUUAGGAAAUUAAGACUAAUUCUUUGAUUACACAAGUAUGUGAGUCAAGUGAAGGACUAAAGGACUAGAACACAAUGUUGUGCACUAGUCAAGUCCACCAUAAAUAAUGAAUACAUUAUUCGUCAUGAUUUACUAAAGGUCUAGUAAACAUGGUUAUACUUACAAUAUUAAGUGAAAUUCUGAAUCAUUGAAAAAGGUUGCAAUGAAUGGCAGAACGAAUAAGUAGAAUCAAUGAAGGCAGAAAGAUAAAAAGUUUCUCCAAUAUAAGAAGAAUGGGAGAGUACUUUUGCAUCAGGUUUUAUGAUCGUCUUAAUGUUUAAGAACCAUAUAACAAUUCAUGCUCUAAGGAAAUCUUAGUGCACUAGUAUAGCUAAGAAGAGGAAUCGGAAAUUAUUGAAAUGGUUAAAUCAAAAGGAUGAGUCAUACUUCGUUCCAAAAAUCAAGUCUUAGAGUCAUACUCCAAGAUUAUGAAUUGAGUGACACAUCUUAAGAAGGUCUAACACACUCAUCAAAUGUGAAGUAGAAAAUUGUUUUUCGUACUCUUGUACGUUCGAAAUUGGUAAGUUGUGAUGUCUUGGAGAAGACAAAGACCAACUAACACCAACUGUGUGUAGUGGUUUGUCCUGAUAUAGACACACACUAAUUCUUGAAUAAUUGUUUUAUGAAGAAAUGUUUCUUGAUAAGAGAAUCUAAUAUGUCAAGAGGUUAGUGGGAGUCUAAAUGAUCUUGAAAACUUUCAAGAACUAAUCAAGAGUAAACCUAUUAAACACUAGCAUACGAUUUGAGGAUUGUACCCUAUCGUGUUGACGUAUUCUUGUUUCUGUGCCAAUCCGGUUGAGUUGAUUAUGCAUAUGAGUUCUACGAGUUCUCAAUAGACUGUAUAAGGCAAGCACCUUGUUCAAUGAAAGUACAUUGACUGGUAUAGGUGAGAUGCUAAAUAACUUGGAAGCAAUGGUGGGACCCUUGAUGACAAGAAAUCAAGAAUGAUCAAGUUCUGUCCAUAGGAGUUUGGAUUUGUCACAAACAUUAUCUUACGAUUAUGAUUAUGGCAAAUUCACAUGGAAAGGAACACAUACACUAUAAAAUCUAAGUGUUAUAAGGUUUCUCUCCUUCAUGAAAAUGAUUGUGAGGAAAUGCUUUCAGUAAGAGAGAUUUUAAGAAGAUAGCAAUUAUGUAGAUUGAAUUCUCAAAUUUGAUUAUGAUUACUACAUCCCUCUUCAUAGUUUGAAUUGUGAGAUUUGGCGAUUAGUCUGAAUAUUUUGGGACUUUGUAAUAUAAGUUCUGAAUUAGUUUAGACACACAUGUCAGUUAUGUAAGGAAAGGUGUAUGAGUUUGAGAUGCUCAGAUAAAGGCUUAUCAAAGCAUAUCAUAUUAGGAAAAUGAACUUUGGAAGUCAAUAAGUAUUGUUUUCCAAGAAGUUUAGCUGAUUUCUAAAUAUGUGUCAAAGCUAGUGGGAGCAUAAAUGUUAUGCUAGAAUGGAUAUAAUCAUCAUGUUAGUGGGAGCAUGAUUAUUAUUUAAAGUGUUGCAAGUUAGGAAUAUUAAUUAUAGAAAACAAAAGGUUUCACUUUGCAAAUGCAGGGGUUGAAAAGUUGUUUUGCUAUAAUUAAGGGAGAGAAUGUUAUACUUUGUUUCAAAAUCUAAAAGCUUAGAUCGAGAAAUUUUAAUCAAAUUUAGACAAGGAUAUAUUAAUCGCGUCCUCAAAUUUCGAUUAUGAUUACAUCAUCCCUCUUCAUAGUUCGAAUUUUGAGAAUACGGAAAAUAGAAAUAUUAUGGCAAAUGGCUGAUAAAGUAUCCUGCUUUUAUGUAAGACAUUAUGAAUUGUGUCCCAUACGCUUCUGGUAUAGGAUCGAUUGCAUAUGCUGUAAUAUUUGACCGUUCUAAAAUUUUCCAAAUGCCUAGAGCAUUAAGAGGGAAAAAAAGACUAGAACCGGAUUUGACUAAAAUAAUUAAACAACUAUCAAGGACAAUCUAAGGUUCGCCAAAGAUUGGUCGCUUGUGGAUAGUUGGAAGUAUGCUAAUGGAUGGACCAUAUUGACUUUAUGAAUAGAUAAGACUCUAUUUAGAAUGAGUUGUCAUAUGACAAAUACAGAAAUGUUUCCAUAUUGUGAGUUGGACGUUAAAAAAUUUAUGUCUAGAUUAGAAACUUUUAUGCAAGAAGGAUCUUCAAAGGAAUGUACUUUGAAUGUGAGACUUCACAUCUAUGAAAUUGUCUUGUAACAAUCUCCAAUAGAGCAUUUUGUAAUUUCGUUGGCCGAAUCUUGGUGACUUUUGUGUCGUGACAUUACAAAAGGACUGUUGCAUAAAAUGUUAGAAUCUAACAUAUACUAGUAGUGGUGAGAAUUUUGUAUUCUUACACUAAUGAUUUUGAAUUGUGAAAUGAGCAUCAUUGGAAAUGUGUUCAAUUGAUCUAUUUCACAAAGCAAGAACGAUAGGUAAACAUAGUGUGCAUGCUUGGGGCAUGGGACAACUGUUGCUAUAAUUCAAGUAAUAAGUUGAUUACCCAAAACAACAAAUAAUGAGUAAUAAAUAUGGUGAUUAAAUAAAAGUGUUUUAUUUAUACUCAAAGGUCUGAGGCCAUAUAGUAUUAGUAUUAUUCUUGUGUUUCACUUUGCAUGUUUUGACUUCCCGAAUAAUAAGAUUAUUCAAACAUUCCACAGUCGCUCAUACUUUGGGAGCAGGUGUGAAAGAAGAUUGUCAUAAAUUGGUUUGUAGAUUGUCUAAAGUGUAUUAGACAUAACAAAGGUUUGCUGCAAGGUUCAUGAGUGCUUAUGAAUAUGAUUUGAGCAUUGGAUUAAACCCAUGCUCACUUGAAUCACUUCAUGGAUUUUAUCACGGGUGAUUAGUGAGACGAUAAUAUCUUAUAUUCUUGAAACCGAGAUGUGCGAGUUGUAUUCUGCAGGUCGGUUGCACAUUGAUAAUAUGUAAACGCACCAGUAACUUGGUGUUAUAAAACAUAUUUUUUUGUGUGAUUUGAUGAGUUGGUACAAGCGAGCACUGAGUCAAAGUUUAUCCAUUCUUUUUACCCAAAGUGGGAUAAAAGCGAUAUCUGUGGGCCCCUCGAUGAUUUAGUGAUGACACCCUAAGCGCUUGGCCAAGCCGGGACUAAGUUGAUGUGUUCAAUUGUAGUUUGUUGUCAGUCAUCAUAAAUCGGAAAUCGUGAAACAACACAUGAACAUAGAGUAUGAUUAAAAUCCAUGUCUCAGUUAAUACGAUAUCUAGAAUGGAGGAAUAUAUGAUCCCUUAUCUAAAUGACACGUUUUUAAUAUGAUCAAAGUUCGACAGCGGCUUUUGAAAGCUACGAUUGUUGAUCAGGUUUUGUAUUCAUAUGCAAAAUAGUUAAUAGACUUUUCCAUGUGGGAGGUUAUUGGAUUAGGUGUCUAAGCCCAUAACUAUUUUGGUAUGUACUUGAUCCGAUUGUGAGCAUGGUCCUUUUGGGUUGCCUUCACCAUAGAAACUGAUAGGAUGAAUUAAGGAUAACGAGUUCUAAUUAUGAUUUAUUAAUAUAUUAUGUCAAUAAUAUAUGAAAAGAGAAAUCAUAUUAUUUAAUUAAUAUUAGUCAAAAAUUAAUUAAGAACUAAUUUUGUGGCUAAAAGAGAUUAAUUAAACUUGGGGGACUAAUAUUGUAAUUAUAAGAGAAUUGCAUUGUGGGCUCUGGAUUCUUAUUGGACUGAGGAUUGGAUGAAAUCUAUGGGAAGCCCAUAUGGAUUUCGUCCAAGGGCUUUCUAAAGGGACUCCAUGAGUUUCUUAAGGCCUAAGCAGAGAAUUAGGGUUUUCCCUGAAAACCCUAGCAGCCCACACAAGUAUAAAUGGACCCCUAGGGCACCCAAAACGAGGCUAGGCAUUCCUUGGAGUUUCUUGGAUGUUUUGGUGCCUCCUCCCUCUCUCCUUGUUCAUCUUGUUGCUCAUGGUGUUUGUGACUCCAUUAGAGGUGCAACAUUUGAGGCACUAAGCUUUCAGAAGUCAAGAUCAAGAGGAAUUGAGAUUGUUAUUGCUACAUAACAAUCAAGGUAAGAUCUAAAUCCUAUUCUUAUGUUAAUAUCGAUUAUCACAUGCUAGAUCUAAAUCCUAUUCUAAGUACUCUCCUUUCCUUUCAGAUUGGAGAAACUUUUAUCUUUAUGCCUAAUUGAUUCUUCUUAUUCGUUAUGCUAUACAUUGAAACUUUUCAAGGUAUGAGAAUUACACUUAAACUUGUAAGCAUAACCAUAUUUACUGAACCAUUAGUAAAUCAUGAGAAAUAGCCUUUAUCAUUCUAUGUGGUGGAUCUGAUCAACGUGUAGUAGAUCCUUUUAUCUUUCACUUGACUUACAUACUUAUGUAAACAAGGAAUUAGUCCUAAUUUCCCAAGUACCAAGAUUUUCAAACAUCACAUGAUCCAAAUCAUAUGAUUCCAAGUUUCUUUCCAAUUGAAGCUUGGGUGAUGAGAAUCUUUCCUUACUUAGAAAAUUACGACACUACCACAAUCAAUAUAGCUAAGAAACUAUUGCUAUUAAUAGAAACAUACAAACAACAAUUUACACAAAUGCCAUUGCAAAGAAAUAUAAAAUAAAAUCAAAAUUUCUUUAUUUAUAAAAGCGCGGAAAAACUUGUCCAUACAAUGCAAAUACAAAUGAAAACUAUGCUGUUAAAUAUUUCUCAGCAAUCUAUCAUAACUCCUAAGCAGCUGUUAAAAAAUCUGAUAAUCCAACCAUGCGAUCGGAAUCCAUCUCUUCGCAACCAGACUCAACUUACUCUUUAUUUAAGCUUCCUUUCUUUUCUUUGAUCCUACAAAACAUCAAAAUGCAAUCUUAUCACAUCGUGUAUUAAGAAUCUAUAAAUAGGAACUUAAUAGAGUUAGAUAGUGAACUUACUUGAAAUAGAACCAUACAAUUUGAUUUUACCAUCUCUUAGAUCUCUCAGGUAGUCAGGACAGCUUCGCUUCCAAUGUCCCUUUUCUUGGUAAUAGAAACAAACAGACUCUUUCAGAAUGGUACAUGAGACUAUCUCAGAUUCAACCUUUCUCUUUACCAUUUGGUCAAACAGUUUGACCUUGGUCAAUCCCUUUCCAUUGGGAAGAGAAAACCUUUAUGGACUUCCAAUGUUGCCAUUGUCAAUGUCUGUGGAAGUUUGGAAAGUAGAUCUUCCAAUCAAAUUUGCUUUACCAGUGCGCCAAAUCAUUGCUGAUUUGGCAGCAAUUAGCAAAUAUGCAAGAUCGAUAAAGGUCACGUCGUGAUCUAUCAUAUAGUAGUCUUUGACAAACUGACCAUAUGACUCAGGAAAUUACUGAAGAACCCAAUCAACAACCAGCUUCCUUGGAAAGACGACACCCAACAUUCCCAGUCUGUCAAUAUGCAACUUCAUCUUCAAGACGUGAGCACAUACAGACUUUCCAUCUUCGUGUUUGCUUACCAAUAGGGCUUGAGUGACCUUGAACUUUUCAAGUCGAUGAAGACGUGGGUCAGGGAGAACUAUUGGAGGAGGUGGAGGAAGUGAAGUAUGAUAUUGAGGAAUAUCAUCUUCAUGUGGAAAGCUUUUUCCAAAAGAUUCAGGAUGGUCAUAGUUGUCAAAACUAGACAUCUACAAGGGAGAAAUUCAAAUUUAGUUGAUUUAAGUCCUUCAUAUAACACCCAAAAUGAAAUAUUAAGGCUAGGACCCAACACAAGGUUCUACAAUUCAGAAGAGGGAUGCCAUAAUCCAAUUACAAAAUAUUUGAAGGUAGGUAAAUGACGAUUUACCAAUUUUCACCAUGAAAAAGGAAAAUGAAUAUUAGGUUUUAAAUGAAUUGAAAUUCCUAGAUUCUUUUGAGAUUCAUUGAACUUUUCAAUGACAUGUUUAAUCCCGAUUAUGCCCUUCAAGUUUGUGACUGAGAUACCGAGGAUCACAAAUAAGGUGUGAAUAACCAUGUAAAUUAGCUUGGUAUGCCUGACGUACUCACAUGUACGCCCAACAUACUCAGCCUCAUCGACUAUCCUUUGGUUGACUUACGCCCGACGUACAAUCCAUGUACCCCCAACGUAAGGGACUAUUUUGCACACAAUUAAAAUGUUAAGGGUCAAAAGUGGAAAUAUCUGGAAAUAGGUGUUAUAGUUAUUAGAGUUGAAUUAUAGGACAAUAGAAAUCAUUAUCUUCGAUGUGUGUGUAUAGUCUCGACGAGCUCUUCUCAUAAAUAACCUAUAAAAUAUGUUAUCCAUAAUUGUAAACAUAAAUCUUAGUGAGUUCCCCAAUAUACCACAUAUUCCAUCAUAUAUACAAUGCGUCCACACAAAGUUUUCGGUUCUAACGCCAACCUGUCAACUCUCCUAUCAACAUCCAUAUAACAUACAUAACAAUCAUAUUUGCAAUAAUGGAUCCGCUCCAACCCCAAGCGAACGCUAUGGGAAAAUCAUAGUCAUACAGUCACAUCUUUCCGUGGGCCAAAUCAUGGUCUUUCCUUGCGAUUGAUAGUGGCCAAAUCCUAGUCUUAUAUACGAGUGUUAAGGACUAAAUCCUGGUCUUUCAUAUAAUUGCCAAGGACCAGAUCCUGAUCUUUCAUACAAUACACAAAGUCUUAUGUAGUUAGGGAUCAGAAAGACAAUCUAAUAGAUGAUCCAUCCUAAAGCAAUAAAUCAGACUAGAACCAUGCAUUAAGGAUUUAGACCAAGAGUUCUCAGGCUAUCCAAUUUAAACUACAUAAAACCAUUAUUAUCCUUAUCAAAUAAUCAUAUAACAUAAACGCAUAAUAUAGCCUAGUGAUAUGAGCAUAUCUAGUUAUAAAAUUCAUGCAUGAUCUUAAUACUUUAUGUUAAUUUUAUCUCAAAUAAUGAACCAAAGGUGCUUAAUUAGCUUAAAUAUUUCAUUUUCAGCAACAAAGACAUGCUCGAAAGGAAAAUGAAGCGGAACUAGCGAUUGGAAGCUUGGAUCUUGGAUUUUGAAGAAAGAAGGAUGUUGCUAGACAGCUUGACCCCUCGUCAGUGUUUUGGUCAUAUCUCAUGAACCAUAACUCCGGUUGACGAGAUUCAAAAUGUUCUGAAAAGUAGACACAAUUUCGGACGACUUUCGUGUUUUGAGAAAAUGCUGAUUCGAAACGUACUCGGCGAGUAGGGUCGAUUACUCGGCGAGUUGUAUCAAGCUUUCGCGAUUCUGGACGCGCUGACUUGCCGUACACGGGUUUUAAGUGAUGUACUCGGCGAGUAGGUCACUGGACUCGCCGAGUAGCCUCUGUUUUGUGAAAAUCUAUAUAAAGGGACUUUCAGAUCGAUACCCUAGCAUGGAGAGAAACCCUAGGAGGCUGAGAAACGAUUGGAAGUGCUGCUAGGUCGUGAGGAACUGAAGAAUCAACCCUACAUUCAAUUGUGAAGAGAAUCAAGACAAUUUUGGUUUAUUCUUAGUAACUUUUUGAUUUGAAUCAUGUUUACAUACUUUGAUUUCGUUUUUGAGUUUAUGUUUACUGCAAUCAUGAGCUAAAAACUUAUUCUUCUGUUAGGGUAGACAAUUUUGUGAACAUGGAUUGAUUAUUUGAGUAGGAUUAAUUUUAAUUGGUAAUUAUGUUUUGUUAAGCUUGUUAAAGAACCUUAUGUGUUGACAAUAACUAUUCUUCUGUUAAUAAAUCAGUAAUUAAGUUGUAUGAACAUCUCUUAGUUAUUAAUUUCAUAUGAUUUAUUGUGACCACAUAGUUGUAUGUCUAGGAAUAACGAAUGUGAAACUAGAAUUAACUAGAAGAUAGGUAAGUUAAUGUGUGAGAUUGUUUGAUGAACAUCAGCAAGAGGUUAAUUGAAGGAUCAAUUUAGUUAACCAUUACAAGUCUUAUUUAACCCGAAUCAAUAACUAGGAAAUCCGUUAAUUUAGACAACUGGCCACUGCUUGAGUUAAUUUGUUUCCUAAGGAUUAGUAAUAACGAACGUGAAACUAAUCAUCUUAGUCGGUAGCCAAUGAAGAAUUAAUCCGAUACAAUGAAAUCAUCCAUGGGAACAAAUGAGUCGAACCUAAACAGAAGUCCUCUUUAUUAUUGAAUUUAGUCGAUUUUUAUUUGCGUAGCUCUUAGUUUCUUAGUUUAAGUUUUAGUUAAUUGUUUAAGUUUCUAGUCUUGCAAAACUAGAGAAAACCCUCUUUCUAUUACUUGUUUUAUUUAGAUAAUAUUAGCAUUUAUUUUAAUUGUUUACCGUUCCCUGUGUUUGAUACCUUACUUACCUGAACUAAACUGCUAAUCGAUAGGUACACUGCCUUUUGUGUGUUCUUCUUUGUGUUUAAGUUAGUAGGAUUAAAACUAGUUCGUUGCACACACAUCAAGUUUUUGGCGCCGUUGCCGGGGAACGGUUCUAAAUAGUUAAUUUUAUUUGCUAAUUGUUAUCAUAUAUUAUUAUUUUUUUAUAUAGUUUAAUUUUUGUUUAUUAUGUACUUUCCAAAUCUCGAUGCUUUUGAUGCUUUUCUUGAGGAAGUAGUACAGGAAAUUGACCUACAAGAGCAAUCUGAGUUACAAGAGCUAAAGUUACAAGAUGAAGAAUCUAAUCCAGAAAGAGAUUUGGAGGAGCUGGAAAGGUUGUUAGCAGAGAGGUCAGACGAAGAACAAGAACAAGCUGAAUUGCAGGAACCAAGUUGUUGUUUGACCAUUACCACGACAUGGCCCCCUGUAUUUUCGGUUUAUGUUUCGAAGCGUGGGGUGACGAUUCCAACUUUGGAGAAAGUUCUGAAGCGCGAUCCAUUUCUGAUUAGUAUCCAACCGGUCCCAACCAUUGUCAGAAUUCUUGGGUUUUAUGUAUUCAAGCUUGUUUGGCCAAUUUUAGAAGAAAAGAGCCAAAUUUUACAAAUUGGUCCAAAGAAAAUAUUUAAUGCAAUGGAUGGAUGGGCAUCGAAUUUAUUAGAAGUUUAUUAAGUUGGGAGUCCAGCUAAAGACUCGCACAAAAAGAAGCGCUUGCGGGAGGCAACCCGUCAUUAGAGUUUGCUUUUCUUUUUCUUUCUAAACUUCUAGUAUUUAGGGAUAAUUUAGGAUUUUUAUUUUGAUUUAUUUUUAUUAUUACUUGGUAUUUGUUUUUUAUCUUUUCAGAAUAUAGGGUGAAGGAUAGAAUGAAAGAAUAAAGCAUGAGGAAAUUAAGUGAGGGGUCAAGUCGUAGACGAGAAGAUUAGAAGAUUUGAGUGAUUUUAUAAGUCCGAUGGUUUUAACGGUUAAAAAGGAGUUUCAUCACUGAAGAAUAUAAGGAGGUGUAUUACCUUAAUACCCUCUUUGACCUCAAAAACAGACCCAAGGCAGAAAGAAGAAUUUGCACGAUCAGAGCCGAAAACUCGUCGAGUGCACCCUUAUAACUCGACGAGUUCCAGCGAAAAUUCACGAUUUCUGCCCAUAUGACGACUCAACUAGUCUCCACAUAAAACUCGACGAGUUGCUCAUUCUUUUAUCUUUGAGUCGACGAUUUGAUUCAAUUCAAGGCGGAAAUUGGCUAUAUUUUUGAAGUUAAUUUCCGAGCAUUUCCAAGAAGCUUUUUCCUCGAUAUUUUGGAGCUGUCAACCACACGAGAUGAAUGACACCCAAUGCAUGGAUGAGUUGUUCCUAUGUCUAAAGUCAGCUGAAGAUGGAGCUUUAAAUGAAGAAGUUCAACCUCGCCACUACNUAAACAGAAGUUCCCUUCGUUAUUGAAUUUAGUUGAAUCUUUGUUUAUCUAGUUCUUAGUUUCUUAGUUUAAAUUUUAGUUAAUUGUUUAAGUUUCUAGUCUUGCAAAACUAGAGAAAACCCAUUUUCUAUUACUUGUUUUAUUUAGAUUAAUUUUAAAAUUUUGCAUAAAAUUGCUAGGGCUAAUUUAGAUAUUUUGGUAAAAAAAAUUGGAAACCAUGCUAGUAUUAUGUUGAUGAUUGCAUGAGGACCCAAAUGUUUAGUUGAGCCUAUAUACGCUAUAAUACAUUUAUGGCCUCCUUUAUUCUAGUGAAAUCAUGGGAUAAAAACACAACCUCGCUUAGUUUGAGGGAUGCAAUAUGUUUAGCAUCGUGUACUUGAAAUGUAUCCAGGAAAACUAAUACUUUAACCAAUAAGGGUUGAAGUGUAGCGCCCUUGCUUAAGCAUGUAGGUUUUGGGUGAAAAAAAAAGUGAGGUACAUGUAAAAAAAGAGAGAAUUACAAGAAAAGUUGUAAAAAUUUUGGAGCAAUUAAAGUAAAGAUCAAAAUAUCAAAAUUCUGAAGAUUCAAAAAGUGAAGAUACCAAAAAUCAAAGAAGGUGGUGAAUUCAAAGAAAUCAAGAUCAAAUUAUCAAAGAAGUGAAGAAUUCCAAAGAGCUCCAAUGUGGUAUCAUAAAUUGUAAUUGUCUAGAUUAUGUAUGCUUGGGUUGCUCAACCAAAAAUACCUUGAGGUUAAGAGGUUUUCUGAGGAUGGAUUCGGAGGGAUGCAUAAAAUGAGCAUUGUUCGGAAAAAGUGGGCGAAUGUUUAUGAGGAUUGUGAGUAUUUGGAGUAUGGGGGGUUAUUAGGAAAAUUUUAAACACAAAUGCAUGUGUUGCGGUCUUGGCAUAAUGGCUGGGUUCGAUUGGGAUUGUCUUAUGUAAUAUUAAUGUACUAAAAUUCAGUUUUGCUUGGGGGGCAAGUAAAAGUCAAGUGUGGGGUAUUUUGAUAUGAGCAUAUCUAGUUAUAAAAUUCAUGCAUGAUCUUAAUACUUUAUGUUAAUUUUAUCUCAAAUAAUGAACCAAAGGUGCUUAAUUAGCUUAAAUAUUUCAUUUUCAGCAACAAAGACAUGCUCGAAAGGAAAAUGAAGCGGAACUAGCGAUUGGAAUCUUGGAUCUUGGAUUUUGAAGAAAGAAGGAUGUUGCUGGACAGCUUGACCCCUCGUCAGUGUUUUGGCCAUAUCUCAUGAACCGUAACUCCGGUUGACGAGAUUCAAAAUGUUCUGAAAAGUAGACACAAUUUCGGACGACUUUUGUGUUUUGAGAAAAUGCUGAUUCGAAACGUACUCGGCGAGUAGGGUCGAUUACUCGGCGAGCUGUAUCGAGCUUUCGCGAUUCUAGACGCACUGACUUGCCGUACACGGGUUUUAAGUGAUGUACUCGGCGAAUAGGUCACUGGACUUGCCGAGUAGCCUCUGUUUUGUGAAAAUCUAUAUAAAUACAUACCCUUGCUAAUUAGCCUUCCCUAGUUACCCUGCCAUUGACCAAUUCUCAGUUAAGUCCUUCACUGGUUAAUUAUACAUAAUCCUGAUAACUGGCCUUCCCCAAUUACCUUAACCAAACUUAACUCCUAACAAUAUAAGACAAGACCCUACCAAUCUAACAUACCAUGGCACCAAGUAUCCCAUUCCACAUAGUCAUAGAAAGUAGCGAUCCUAGUCAACUAGCAUACUUGUACACUAACAAUUUCACUAUCCUGAUAUACAAAGGAUAUAUAAUGGGAUACGUGACAUAGUGAAAAGAGCUACAUGAAUCGGAGAACCGAAGAAGCACAACAACACUCGCACUCCUUGUGCUGAUUAAUCCCAUGAACCGACUAAUACCAAGUAAAAAUCAAUUCUCAAUUAACAACCUAAAUCCUUCAAGUUUGACCAAGAACACUUAAACUAAGACCUUUUUCCCACUUAAUGAAAAGUCCUUUACUACAAAAGUGUCAUAAUGAGCUCUGGAGUUCGCCAAACUCUAAGAGCAUCCAAGAAAGGACCAAAAUCAACCAAUAAUAACCAUAAACAUGAAUCUCAAAAGAAGUAGGUCAAGGUGCAAGGUUUAUACCUCCAAAGGCCCUAAAACUUGAAGAAGAUGAUGGAUCUAAACUUGCCCUUUUCUUUCUUGCACCAAAAAGAAGUCCCUUUCUUCACAAGCUUCACCAAUUCAAGAAACAACUUCAGGAUCAAUCUACCAAGCUCACAAUCAUGGAAGGGAGGCUAGGGUUUCAAAAUGAAGAGAUAGAGGUUGAUGGAGAUGACGUAAUCUAGGAAUUAAGGGGCUUAAAUAUGGGAGAAACCUUAAAAAUCAUGGUCCUGGGCUGCAACAGCCACCAUGUCGUGGCAUCCUUCAUGCCACGUCGUGGUGUCCAUCCAGACAUGCGCCCAUUGCGUGUCAUGCCACGUCGUGGUCAUCCAUUUAUCACGUCGUGGCAUAUGGUUUUCCUCAAAAACCAUAUCGUGACCCCAUUAAGUCUUCAGCUGAUCCAUUUUAGAAAACGGAUGUUACAGUGUUUUUCUGAUUUAGAAUGUCACCAUCUCCCUUCAUCUUCUGUAGAUGUGAUAAUCCGUAAGAAAAAUCAUACACCUCCAGUAACUCUAACAUCGACGAUGUUGGUGAGAUCUGAAACCUUAGCUCGCAUUUUAAGAUCCGAGAUAGUGGGGGAUCCGUUCUAGCGAGGAAGCGACUUUCUGACGAGGAAGGUGUUGUUCCAAGAAGGGAGGUGGCGUUUCGACAGGGAGGCGACGUUUCAACGAUGAGAGCGGCGUUCCGACGAGGAGGGCGGUGGUGGUGGCAUCUUGUAGUUGUAGAAAUUAAAUGAGCAAGAUGAGAGAUGGGGAAGAUGAUGGCGGAAGAAGUUUUUAAUUUUAAAUAAUAAAAUAGUAUGAGAGAAACAUGUAAAAUGACAAUAUGUCCUGACAUGAGGAGGAUAUGACCAAAGUUAAUUUGAUGGACCAAAUCUACAUGCUUCAAAUUUGGACUAUCUGUACGAUAAAACGAAUUGGACUUAAAUUGUUCUUUUUGGUAGAACAUAAAAACGAAUUUUAUUAUUUACCCUUUGGUAAAUAAAUUUAAAACAAUAAUGCUUUGAUAAAUAUAUAUUUUUUCUAAAUACUAUCCUUAGGUGUAUUUGACGGUUUGACCUGCUCCAAAGAAUUACGUACAGAAGUCAAUGGUUUAUAGAUAAAUUGUGCCAUUUUAGAAAAAUUAUAAUUAAAUAAAAAAUAAUAAAAAAUAGAAAAGGUAUAUUUGACGGUUUGACCUGUUCCAAAGAAAUACUACAGAAGUCGAUUGGUUUAUAGAUAAAUUGAUAAAAAUUGCAAUACGUAACUUAAUAUGGCGUUGAGUAGCUCAUUUUGAUUGCUGGAAAGUGGAAACUUCCAUUGGAUUCCUUCUUUUUUUUCUCCAUCAAUCCGUCAUGCUGUCAUGCAACUAACAAAUAGAUUAUGCUAACGAUAAAUAUUUUUUCAACAAAACAAACCACAACACAUUCACACCUUUUUUUUAAUAACUAAUAUACUUUAUAAAUAAAGCACACUUAUUUAGAAAAAAAAGAUUUCAACAAAUAUAUAUUAAUAAUAAUUUCUCGGGACCGAUUACACUGCAUCAUAUGGUGGAAAAGUUAGGUCAGCAACUUCAAACAGAAACCAACUAAAAUUAAUAAAUUCCAACCCAUGAUGUUUAUAUUUAAAUUAAUAAACACAAUAUAUAGACAACUCAACAUCUAAUAUCAACAAAAAUUAUUUUGAGAAAUUGAAAUUCUAUAUUUAAAAUUAUUUUUCUACAUAAAAAAUGUUUACGGAUUAAAACGUGUUUCGUGAUCGAUGCAUACAUAUUCAUAUCCAAUAUCAAUAAGUAUCUUAUUGACUUAUUCAUAUCAAAUAUCAUCUCAAUCUUUUUAUAUUUUUUAAAUAUCGUGUGAAUCCGAAACUACGACUUUCCUUUUCAUAGUGUGACAUACUACGUACGCGUCCCUACAACCAUUCCCUAUAAAUACAAAUCCUAACACAAACAUUUUCAAAACACCAUUAACUUUCAAAAUCAUUCAGGAUUUCAAAUACUCAUCUCAGAUAUAUCUUUACAAGAAUUUCAAGGAUAAAAAAUGGCAGCUUUUAGGUUCAAUUCAGUGGUGAUUAUGGCUCUCAUGCUUGCAUCGGUGCAGUUUCACAGCACGGCGGCUCAGACUACCCAUGUGGUCGGCGACGCCUUGGGCUGGAAUAUUCCUCCAAACGGACCUUCUGCUUACACCACCUGGGCAUCAACUCAGACCUUCAGAGUCGGCGAUGUUCUUCUUUUUAACUUCACCACCGGAUUCCAUAACGUUGCUGAAGUGUCUCAGGCGGCGUAUGCGCCAUGCACCACCGCCAACCCCAUCUCCAUUGCCACCACCGGACCCGCUAGAGUCACCUUGAACGCACCUGGCACUCACUAUUACAUCUGCACCGUUGGCACUCAUUGCCAAAUUGGUCAGAAGUUAACUAUCAACGUCUCCGCCGCGUCUGCCACCCCUGCUCCAUCACCAACACCGGCACCCGUCAUCCCCACACCGGUUUCUCCACCAACCGCUACCCCAACCCCAACCCCUGCUCCCUCCACAACAACCCCACCACCAACCUCCUCCCCUGCCCCUUCUUCCGAGGAUGCCAGCCCAGUGUCACCACCCACCUUCGGCCAAUCUCCCUCAGGCAGUAACGCCCCUUCUCCCACAGAUUCCACCAUUCUACCACCACCAUCACCCAGUUCUGCUCCAUCUUUCGCCGCCGUGGCACCCUUCACUUUCUUGACGAUUGCUUUAGCUUUCUUUUACUAGAUGUAGUGAUUGGUGGUUACCUGAGAAUGUGAUAUUACAUAAUUCGUUUUUGUUUAAAAUUCGUUUUUCUAUAUAUGUCAUUGUACUUAUUAAAUUGAGAUACAUAAUAUUAAUUUAUGAUAUUUAUAUGAUUAUGUCCAACUGUCCAUUGUAUUAUAACGGGAAAGUUCGACUUUUUUUUCUUAUUGGAUUUAAAAAUAUUACUCAAUUUACUACAAAUACACUAUCUAUAUGUAUUGUAACAAUCAAGAUACCCGUUGAUGUUAAUAUAAAAACUUGAUGUUAAUUUAUGAUCUAGCUAUAGCCUACAGAAUUGGCCAAGAGGUCACUUAACUGAUUCAGCCCUGCGAUCUGACCAAACGAGUUAAAGAUAAUGUCCCAAAGAUAGUAAAAUGUAUUCCAAUGAUAGUAAAAGGAUUGAAAUGAAACAACAUCAAAUAUUCAAUAAAAUAAAUAUGAGAUAUCACAUACAUAAACUUUGAAUAGGCAGUUAGGAUACCAUUAGUUGUAGUAAAAUGAGAUAAAGGGUGUAUUAUACGGGCAACAAGUGUCAUUUGAUCCAAGAAAAUUUUCUUUCAUAUAGAAACGCAGUUAUGACACUACAAGAAAAGAAAGCAUUAGCGGCGACGCCUUUAGCGGCGACUACCAGCAAUAGCNGCGACACGUAAAAGACGCGUUACGUGUCGCCGCUAUUGCUGGCUGUCGCCGCUAAAGGCGUCGCCGCUAAUGCUUUCAUUUAGCGAUCCGCUUCAUUCUCACCCCAGCCGUCCGAUUUGUUUUCAGUCUAACGGUUGUUAAGGAAAGCGGAAAGGCACGCUGAGUUUUCCCUCCGUUUGUCGCCGCUAAUGCCCUAAUGUCACCGCUAUUGCCCUACGUCGCCGCUAAUAGCCGUCGCCGCUAAUGCUAAACGCAUAUACCACUUCACAGUUUACCUUUCUGCCAUUCACAGCUUACCCCUUCACUCUUUCUCUCUCGUUUUUUCUUCAAUAUCUCGCAAUUUUUCCAACUUGGUGGACUAGGCAUUGCUUCUUGGACCGGUGCUAGCUUCUCCUUCCCUCAAGGCAGCCACAAUACCGCCACAACCCCAACCAAGGUCAACAUUUAGCUAAAAUUUCGAAAUUGCCCAAUCUUCUUGUAGUGUGAAUUAGAUUAGUUGUGGGUGUUUGUUGAGAACAUCCUGAAGCAACUCAUAACUGUGUGCAAGAUUAGUGAUAGUAUAAUGUUUGGCCAAAAAAAUCAAAAACUCCUUUGUCUAUGCUAUAAAGCCAAAAGUUUUUUUUUGGACGAUUUCUCGAUUUUUGUGUGUCAUCCGUAUGCAGAGGCAUUAUAAUCUUCUCUGUAUCAUUCCAAUUUUAACGGAUGUCCUCGAAGGGACAUAAAACCCAAAAUCUUGAGUAAUCUCGGGUGUGCACUUGUUGCAUAUUUCUAUAAUGAUCUCUCCAUUCUUACAAAGGCAAACACAUUCAAAAAGAUCGGCUGAAUACUUGUAGAUCUUCCUUUUUUCCAUGAUUAUGAGACGACUUAUUGUUCUUGUGGAUGCGCAUGCGCCAUGCACCAUAAUUUAUUUGACUUUAAAACAUAUUAUCAAACGAACACCAUAAUUUAUUUGACUUUAAGAUAUACUUGACAACUGAUGAUGUUGGAUGACCAAGACGUCAAUGUCAUUGAGAUGAAAAUGCUCUAACACUUGAUGAAACGUGAUGAGGAGCACAAGAGGAAUAACUACUGACCAACACCGGGUAAAGACCUCAUUUUCAUUUACCGAAUAGAAGGUUUUCUUCGUAUCCUUGCCCUUAAAAAAGAAAGCGUCAUUGUGAAUUUCGAUGAAUACAUUAUUGUUAGAAAUGAGUUUAUAAGCAUAUAGAAGAUGUUUGUUAAUUCUACAGACCUGAUCUUUGCCAUGAUAUCUCUCUUGGACAAAGAAUGAUCAAGAUCACCGGUAAGGUGAUCUAUUACACAAGUGUUAAUGUACCAGUUAUGUUCAUUGAAGUAGUUUCCAGUAGUGACAUUAUUUCCUCCACAAUAUUCCUCAGCCUAGUAAGCAUGGUUAAACCUAUUUCAAUAGUUUAACACAUUGCGACUUGGAAUGCCAAACACUUGACAUCCAGGGCCGCCAUUGCCUCUUCCAUGACUAUAACCACGACCGUAGCUACUGCCUCCACCUCAAUAGUUUAUUUGUUGAUUAUUACGAGAGGUAUUGUUGUUGUAGUUUGGCAUGGAGGGUUUGAUUCUUGACGGGUCACAUUGUUGGCGGAAGAAGUAAAUUUCAUUGUGUUGUUCAUUGCACUUGCUUAUGCUUCAUGAACAAUCAAGUACGCUUAGAAAUCAGUUAGAGUCACAACAUGUUGAUUACUUAGAACUGUGAGGGUGGUAAAGAGGUCACCAUAACCUGGUCCCAAGCCGGCUAGGAUGUAGCCACUUACAUCUUCGUCUUUCAUAAGAUGACCUAUGUUCGCCAUAGUGUCAGCAAGACUUGUUAUCUUAUAGUAGUACUCAAAUGCAGUCAAGCCUCCCUUCUUUUUAAUGGAGACUUCUUUUUAAUGGAGAGAUGUGCAGGUAUCUAAAUAGAAUUGCCUUGGUGUUGAGCCGAAAACAUUGUGUGGAGAGAAGUCCAUAGCUCACUGGAUGUACUUGUGCAUCUCAUGAGUUGAACGAGAACCUCUUUUGUCAUAGAUGGCAGGAGGCCACCAAUCAUUACCUGAUCUUGAACGACCCACUCGGAAUCUUGAGGGUUAUUGACUUCUCUAGCUUCUUACAUCUGCUCUGAUGGUUGUCUUGGCAGCAGGGGUGGCAGGGUACUAUUGAAAUAUCCAAAAAGUUGGACACCUCGCAAGAUGGGAACAACUUGAGCUUUGCACAAUAGAAAAUUUGUUCGAGUUAAUUUGCAAGAGAUGGUGGUAGCAAUAUUUGCUGAGUUGAUAUAGAAGACAUGAUGAUGACGGAUAUGAAAGAAGAUCAUAUUGUUAUGGAUGGUGAUGAUAAGUCGGAACCCUAGGAUGGCUUUGAUACCAAGCCAAAAGAUAUAUUUUCCAUGAACAUUCCCGUAGGGUUUUCAUUCAGUAUAUAUAGAUUCAAUACACUGAUAAACAGUAGAUCCUAACACCCCGCUCUCGAGUUAUAGCAAAGAAAAGAAGAGAAGAGAAAAGAAAAUAAGGAGUGAAAAGAAGAGAAAAGAAAGGAAAAAAAAAAUUGUCAUUUGUGCUCCCGAGUUGGAGAGAAAUGGAAGGAAAGUUAAACAUUUUGUUCUUUCUUUUCAAAUCCUCCCAAAUCGGGAGGAAAGGUAAGAGGAAAAGUUUUCCUUCCAUUUCCUUCCACUUCCUUCCUUUAAUGAAACUCGGGAGCAACAUUCUUUCUUGCUUUUCUCUCAUUUCCUCUCAUUUCUUUUUUUUUUCUCUCUUUAAGUUGAACUCGGGAGCGGGGUGUAAAUGUCAGGUGCUUAUCUUAUCUCUAUACAACAGUAUACUUAUCUCUAAAAUCUCUAUAUUAUCUGUUUACAAACCUAAUUCAAAGAAAUUUCAUGAAUCCCUCUGUGGAUAAUUUGAAGAGAUGAGAUAGCUUUCUUUUGGGUGUGAAUGUAACCCAAUGAGUGAUUUUAAGAGCUAAGAGGCUUUUCAAAGUGUGAUUUAACGUAGUUAACUCUAAAAAUUUUGUGUAUAACACUUUCGCAGGUGACUCUACAAUUAUAUUUAAUAAAUUUUUUUGUUCUUCUAUAUUUUGUUCUACACAAGCACUUUCCCAACCAUAUGAUAUAUGCAUUAUCAAUACAAACUUAAUAGAUGUUUUAAAACGACAAGCAUAAUGCUAUGUUAACUGAUUUCAACAUGAAGUAGGUCGGCUAACAUUUGUCAUUANUAAUAAUAAUAAUAAUAAUAAUAAUAAUAAUAAUAAUAAGAAUAAGAGUUUAUCUUAUAUAAUAAAAGAACUAAUUAAAAACAAAACAUAGAUGUAAAGCUACUUUUUUUUUUUUUUUUUUUUUUUUUUUUUUUUUUUUUUUUAAUUUAUCUUUUCUUAGCUUAUUUAUUUGACGGCUUGACAUGUUCGAACUUCAAAGACUUAUAUGAGAGAAGACAGAAGUCAAUGUGUUUAUAGAUAAAUUGAUAAAAAUUGCAAUAGGUAACUUAAUAUGGCGUUGAUGAGUCAAACCUAGCUCAUUUUGAUUGCUGGAAAGUCGAAACUUCCAUUGUAUUCCAUCUUUUUUUUGUUCCAUCAAUUUUUAAGAACACGUCUAUAUUUCCAAAAACUAAUAAUAUUUUCUUAUUUGAAAAAUAACAUUUAAUCCGUCAUGCUGUAAUGCAGUCAAACAAAUAUAUUAUACUUUAUAAAUAAAACACACUUAUGUAGAAAAAAAAUUGCUACAAAUAUAUUAUCUCGGGACCGAUUAUACUGCAUCAUAGGGUGGUGAAAAAGUUAGAGCUACUUCAAACAGAAAACAACCAAAAUUAAUAAAUUCCAGCCCAUGAUUUUGAUCUUUUAAAUUAAUAAACAAAAUAUAUAGACAACUCAGUAUCUAAUAUCAAUAAUUUUUUUUUUGAGAAAAUUGAAAUUUAUAUUAAAAAUUAUUUUUAUACAUAAAAAAUGUUUAGAGAUUAAAACAUUUUUNNNNNNNNNNNNNNNNNNNNNNNNNNNNNNNNNNNNNNNNNNNNNNNNNNNNNNNNNNNNNNNNNNNNNNNUAUAUCUUAUUGACUUAUUCAUACCAAAUAUCUUCUCAAUUCUAUUAUAUUUUUUAAAUACCGUGUCAUUCAAAAACCGCGACUUUCCUUUUCAUAGUUGUCACAUACUUACUACGUAUCCCUAGAACCAUUCACUAUAAAUACAAAUCCUAACACAACUAUUUCUCAAAAUACCAAUAGUCUUCAAAUCCUGCUAGAUUUCAAAUAAUCAUCUAGAGUGCUUUCUUUUCACAAGAAUUUGAAGGACUAAAAAUGGCAGGUUUAAAGUUCAAUUUGGGGGUGAUGAUGGCGCUCAUGCUUGCCUCUGUGUUGUUUCAUGGCACGACGGCUCAGACAACCUAUGUGGUUGGCGACGCCUUGGGCUGGAAUAUUCCUCCCAACGGACCUUCUGCUUACACCACCUGGGCAUCAACUCAGACCUUUAGAGUCGGCGAUGUUCUUCUCUUUAACUUCACAACCGGAUUCCAUAACGUCGCUGAAGUGUCUCAGGCAGCCUACGGCCCAUGCACCACCACCAACCCCAUCUCCAUCGCCGCCACCGGCCCCGCUAGAGUCACCUUGAACGCACCUGGUACACACUACUACAUCUGCACUGUUGGCACUCAUUGCCAAAUUGGUCAGAAACUAACCAUCAACGUUUCCGACGUGUCUGCCACCCCUGCUCCAACACCAACGCCGGCAAACGUCAUUCCCACACCGGCUUCUCCACCAACCGCUACCCCAACCCUAACCCCUGCUCCCUCCACUACAACCCCACCACCAACCUCCUCCCCUGCCCCUUCUUCCGACGAAGCCAGCCCAAUAUCACCACCCACCUCCGGCCAAUCUCCCACCGAUAGCACCACUAUACCACCACCAUCACCUAAUUUUGCUCCGUCUUUCACCGCCGUGGCACCCUUCACUUUCUUGGCGAUCGCUUUAGCUUUCUUUUACUAGAUUAGUGAUUGGUGAUUACGUAAGAAUUUGAGAUAACACAAUUCUUUUCUAUAAUUUUUUUUUCUAUGUCAAUGUACUUAUUAAAUUGAGAUUUAUAAUAUUGCUUUAUGCUAUUUAUAUGCUUAGUUGGUAUUCCAGACUUUUAGAAAGGAAAUAUGUGACUACAUCACACUUCACAAGAGAACGAAUAUCACUAUAUGAAAAUUAUGUUUGAAUUUAUAAAUAUGGUGUCUAUAUUAUUCAAUUUAUUAUGAAUACAACAUCUAUAUUGAAUCAUCAAGAAACCGUU
rnacentral:lncRNA from 1 species